rnacentral:tRNA from 1 species
GCCCCCAUAGCUUAACCCCAAAGCAUGGCACUGAAGAUGCCAAGAUG